rnacentral:misc_RNA from 1 species
AAGACUAUAGACCUGCGGAGUACCUGCGGAGGGAUCAUUGUUGGCUGGCUCUAUAACAAAUGAGGUUCGCGCCCAGAAAUAGGAGGGGGCUUCCCCUGAGAAUGAGAAAACGUGGCUGCCUGACGUAUUGCUUUUGGGGACACGAAACAACUUUCAACAAUGGAUCUCU